GACGAACGCUGGCGGCGUGCCUAAUACAUGCCAGUCGAACGCUUCUUUCCUCCCGAGUGCUUGCACUCCAUUGGAAAGAGGAGUGGCGGACGGGUGAGUAACACGUGGGUAACCUACCCAUCAGAGGGGGAUAACACUUGGAAACAGGUGCUAAUACCGCAUAACAGUUUAUGCCGCAUGGCAUAAGAGUGAAAGGCGCUUUCGGGUGUCGCUGAUGGAUGGACCCGCGGUGCAUUAGCUAGUUGGUGAGGUAACGGCUCACCAAGGCCACGAUGCAUAGCCGAACUGAGAGGGUGAUCGGCCACACUGGGACUGAGACACGGCCCAGACUCCUACGGGAGGCAGCAGUAGGGAAUCUUCGGCAAUGGACGAAAGUCUGACCGAGCAACGCCGCGUGAGUGAAGAAGGUUUUCGGAUCGUAAAACUCUGUUGUUAGAGAAGAACAAGGACGUUAGUAACUGAACGUCCCCUGACGGUAUCUAACCAGAAAGACACGGCUAACUACGUG
rnacentral:rRNA from 1 species